GGACUGCAGGCGCCCGCCACCAUGCCUGGCUAAUUUUUUGUAUGUUUAGUAGAGACGGGGUUUCACCGUGUUAGCCAGGAUGGUCUCUAUCUCCUGACCUUGUGAUCUGCCUGCCUCGGCCUCCCGAAGUGCCGGGAUUACAAGCGUGAGCCACCAUUCCCGGCCCAAAGGACAACACUUAGCUCUCAUCACAUCACCUUGUGGAAUCCGGGCUUAGCAAAAUGGCAUGGGAUGUCACUCUGUCUACUGUUACUACUGAGGAGAAGAAGUAUGAAGUGCUUGCUUGGACCUUUCUACUGUGCUUAUUAUUCUGUCUUCUCCUCAUGGCAACUCUGCUCAGGCAACUCUUCCUCUGAGGAUCCUUCCAGUGACAAUUCAAGAAUUAGCGACUCAAUUCCCAGGGUCCCUUAGACCUUCGACCUGCUUGUGGGCAAUUUGGAAACAAGGAUUGUGCCUGAAUCACCUUUGCAUUCCUAGCAUCGUUUUUCCUGGAUAAUAAUUUGUUCAAUAUAUGUUCAAUAAUUGUUCAAUUAUUCAAUAACAAAUGUUCAAUAAAUGUGUGUUAAA
ensembl:lncRNA novel transcript